rnacentral:lncRNA from 1 species
AGAGGGUAUUUAAUUAAAAGGUGUGAGAGUGAUUCUAGUGUUGACACCUAAGAAAUAGCAAUUUGGUUAAUAACACAUGAGGUCAAGGUUAGUUUAAAUUAAUGCUCCUCAAAUAAUAUAAAAGGGAUAUGUAGAUUCUUGCUGUAAUGAAAAGUUAUUUUUUAAACUAAAGAUUGUUCUAUGUUACUAUGUGGUUUUCAAUAUAAUAUUAAUUCCAAAUAUACAUACAAAAUGAGUAAUUAUUAUUUAUUAAAUAAAUAUGUUGGAUAAAUUAUUGAGAUCAAAAUAAAAUACAAUGUAAAAUAUAUAUGAUUAAUAGACAAUUGAAUUAACUAUAGUUAUAGUAUCUUAAAACGUUGCGGAAAAUGUUUUUUCAUAUUUUAAAAACUAAUUUUAAUAUUAUCUAUCACGAAUAUAGAAAUAAUUUAUCUUAAUGA